GAAAACUUGAGUGCAGAAGAGGACAGUGGAACUCCAUGUGUAGCGGUGAAAUGCGUAGAUAUAUGGAAGAACACCAGUGGCGAAGGCGGCUGUCUGGUCUGUAACUGACGCUGAGGCUCGAAAGUAUGGGGAGCGAACAGGAUUAGAUACCCUGGUAGUCCAUACCGUAAACGAUGAAUGCUAAGUGUUGGAGGGUUUCCGCCCUUCAGUGCUGCAGCUAACGCAUUAAGCAUUCCGCCUGGGGAGUACGACCGCAAGGUUGAAACUCAAAGGAAUUGACGGGGGCCCGCACAAGCGGUGGAGCAUGUGGUUUAAUUCGAAGCAACGCGAAGAACCUUACCAGGUCUUGACAUCCUUUGACCACUGUAGAGAUACAGCUUUCCCUUCGGGGACAAAGUGACAGGUGGUGCAUGGUUGUCGUCAGCUCGUGUCGUGAGAUGUUGGGUUAAGUCCCGCAACGAGCGCAACCCUUAUGACUAGUUGCCAGCAUUUAGUUGGGCACUCUAGUAAGACUGCCGGUGACAAACCGGAGGAAGGUGGGGAUGACGUCAAAUCAGCAUGCCCCUUAUGACCUGGGCUACACACGUGCUACAAUGGUCGGUACAACGAGUUGCGAACCCGCGAGGGUAAGCUAAUCUCUUAAAGCCGAUCUCAGUUCGGAUUGUAGGCUGCAACUCGCCUACAUGAAGCCGGAAUCGCUAGUAAUCGCGGAUCAGCACGCCGCGGUGAAUACGUUCCCGGGCCUUGUACACACCGCCCGUCACACCAUGAGAGUUUGUAACACCCGAAGUCGGUGGGGUAACCCUUUUAGGGAACUAGC
rnacentral:rRNA from 1 species